AUUGAACGCUGGCGGCAUGCCUUACACAUGCAAGUCGAACGGCAGCACGGGGCAACCUGGUGGCGAGUGGCGAACGGGUGAGUAAUGCAUCGGAACGUACCUUUCAGUGGGGGAUAACGUAGCGAAAGUUACGCUAAUACCGCAUAUUCUGUGAGCAGGAAAGCAGGGGAUCGCAAGACCUUGCGCUGAUUGAGCGGCCGAUGUCAGAUUAGCUAGUUGGUGAGGUAAAGGCUCACCAAGGCGACGGUCUGUAGCGGGGUUGAGAGGAUGAUCCGCCCCACUGGAACUGAGACCCGGUCCAGACUCCUACGGGAGGCAGCAGUGGGGAAUUUUGGACAAUGGGGGCAACCCUGAUCCGGCCAUGCCGCGUGAGUGAAGAAGGCCUUCGGGUUGUAAAGCUCUUUCGGCCGGGAAGAAAUCGCACGGGCUAAUACCCUGUGUGGAUGACGGUACCGGCAUAAGAAGCACCGGCUAACUACGUGCCAGCCGCCGCAGUAAGAC
rnacentral:rRNA from 1 species